AUUGAACGCUGGCGGCAGGCCUAACACAUGCAAGUCGAGCGAGCGGCGGACGGGUGAGUAAUGUAUGGGGACUGCCCGAUAGAGGGGGAUAACUACUGGAAACGGUAGCUAAUACCGCAUACUAUCGGAUAACCCAUAUGGGAUUAGCUAGUAGGUGGGGUAACGGCUCACCUAGGCGACGAUCCCUAGCUGGUCUGAGAGGAUGAGCAGCCACACUGGGACGGAGACACGGCCCAGACUCCUACGGAGGCAGCAGUGGGGAAUAUUGCACAAUGGGCGCAAGCCUGAUGCAGCCAUGCCGCGUGUAUGAAGAAGGCCUUCGGGUUGUAAAGUACUUUCAGCCGGGAGGCGUUACCGGCAGAAGAAGCACCGGCUAACUCCGUGCCAGCAGCCGCGGUAAUUC
rnacentral:rRNA from 1 species